rnacentral:rRNA from 1 species
GGAUCGAGGAGUCUAACUCGUACGCGAGUCCUCCGAGCUGCAMCACGAAGCUCUSGAGGUUCAACGAAAGUAAACGAAGUAAGUGGCAAAUCCGGAGUGAGCGGUCGGUSGAUGCGCGACGUCGCUCGCAUUUAUUCCGGCGCACGCCAGGGGCCCGUCGACYAUUCGGGCUCGAACGACGCGUUCGCCUCGCGGGGCGGGCGCCUCUCGUCGAGUCGAAGGGCGGGCUCCCCGAGCGUGCGGGUUAGUACCCGAAAGAUGGUGAUCUAUGCUUGUUUAGGACGAAGCCGGGGGAAACACCGGUGGAGGUUCGUAGCGAUUCUGACGUGCAAAUCGAUCGUCGGAGCUGAGUAUAGGGGCGAAAGACCAAUCGAACUAUCUAGUAGCUGGUUCCUUCCGAAGUUUCUCUCAGGAUAGCCGGCGCUCAGUCGAACGGAGUUUCAUCCGGUAAAGAGAAUGAUUAGAGGUCCGCGGGGAUGAAACUUCCUCAGCCCAUUCUCAAACUCUAAAUGGGUGAGAAGUCGGGCUUGCGUAAACGAAGCCACGACCCUAGAAUCCGAGCGCCGAGUGGGCCACUUUUGGUAAGCAGAAUUGGCGAUGUGGGACGAACCAAACGUCGGGUUAAGGGGCCAAAAUGUCGGUUAAUAAAGAGAACUUAAAGGCGUUGGUCGCUCGAGACAGCGGACGG